CGUACGAGCGACGUCACAUGCCCUCGAGCGAGAACGACUCGCACGAGAUCCCUUGGUCGCCGCCCUCGCACUCGCAUCCUUCGCCGCCGCCCUCGCACAUCAAGCCGCCGUCGAUCCCUGCGCUACUACGGGAGCCGCCGCCGAUCCCAUUGAGGAGCCACCGCCGAUGACGGGAGACGCCGCCUAUCCCGUUGAGGAGCCGCCGCCGAUGACGGGAGACGCCGCACGCUGACCUACCCCCUCCCCAAUCCCUAGCAUCGCACCUCUUCCCGUCUGGCGCCUCCUACCUCGGCUGGGCGGUGGCCUCGAGUGCCUCUUCUUCCCCAAUGCGGCCUCAACCAACGACGCUGCACCCCGGUGAUGACUCCGCCCCACGAUUCCCAUCGGUCGGCGCCUCGCCAGCAGUGACCUCCCCCUCCAUGUAUCCUGUUAUCCGGUCGUGCGCCACCGCCUCUCCAGGCGCUUAGAUCCAGGCUUCCAGAAGGGGAUAGGGGUGGAGGCGGCAGCGGAGGGGACAUGGAUGUGGACCGGAGAAACUACAUGGUGGAGGCACAACAAAGCGUUCAAGCACGGCACCCCAUCGCAUGCAGCUGCAGAACUAAUCUUGAAGGUGAUAGCCCUAUUUCUUCCCUGUUUUAGAUCAACCGUUCUUCUUUCUUCCUUGGAGCUCCACUGUUUUGGAUGAACUGGACUAACCCUAGAAGGGAUGAAGGUCAUCCACGAGGUGUCUCAAGGUGAACCCCGUGGUACCCGACCAAGUGGCUGGAGGGAAUGGUGUAUGCUCACAAGUUUGUACAGACCAAUUUGUUUCACUCGGACAAGAAUCCCACGAACCUUAAUGUGGCCUUUAAGUUUCAGGUCCUUGGGGUUGGAUGCGGCAACUCGCGGCUCGAAGACAAUCUUUUGUGGUGGGGCGUCGCCGCCGCCGGCGGCACCUGCAUAGACCGUAUCGCUGGGAACGAAGAGAUGCUCCCCUGAUUUGGAGCUGUAGAAAGGAAGUGGUUGCAGACACAAAGUGGGGACACACAACUCCCAGUCAUAAUAUUCUUUAUCUUGGCUCGUUGUUUGGGGAUGGACGCAUCAAUCUGAUGGCGCUCUUCUCCAUGCCAAACGGAUCCUUGGUUCGGAGGCGCGCGGCGCCGACGAUGACAGCCUUUCUAUCGACGCAAGGGCAGCAGGAGCUCAUGACGUUGUUGAUGCCACCACCAUGCAUGGGGUUGAUGCAAGGUGGGACAAUGUGAUCACUAAUGGGGAGAACAUAAAACUUCAAUUGAGGGCACUGUGAUUCUCUAGCUACAUGUAUCAUGGUCACCAACCACACAUGUAAAAACCAUGUCUCCCUACUGUAAUUUGAUGAUUUAUUUACAUGUGGCACAGAAUAGUUCAGAGUUCACUCCGAGAAAGAAUUGCUUUGCAUGUACAUUUGCUAAAAGACGGAUGUGCUGAACUUUCGACGGUUCCGAUUGGUCGCUGACAUAACCUUUCCUCUUUUCAUUGAUAGGUCCAAAAGAGAUCCUUAUUUCACCUUUGUUUAUAGGUAUUCAACGUGAGGAAUUUUAUACUUUUGGAGUGGAGCUAUCAAAUAUAUAUUAUGAGUUUCUAAAACAUCUAUUAUAAGGAGUUGAACAGAGCUUCCUCUGCCCCGACAGAUUCUGAGAAAACCAACCAGCAGAGAACAUGAACAAAUAUAGUGACGAGAAAGGGUGGAGCUGAGUACACCACACAUGGAUAUGAUGGUCUACCCUAUGUUCUUUUUGGCAAUCCACUUAAUCACUGACUCAACUUUGUAUGGGGCGCUUCCGAUGCACAAAUGGUGGCGGUGAAGCAGCAGGCCCGAGAGAGCGUGCAGGGGAGGAAGGAGUUCCUGGUGGAGGUGCUGAUACUGGCGGUGCUCAGCCACCCUAACUUCGUCAGCCUGAUCGGCUUCUGCGCGCAGGGGACAAGCGGCUGCUGUUGUACGAGUACAUGCCCUUCGGCAGCCUGGCGAGUCAUCUCUUUGCGGUUCCAUUAUAUAUAUUCACUUUGAAGGCAAAAAUUAUAUGUUGGCUGGUUGCCCGAGAAAUCAAAAAGGCUAAAUCUUGAGUUGUAUGGAGCAUGGUCAUUUGCUUGAAGUUUCCAAUGGACUGUAUAUACCAUUGAAUGAGAGGAAUUAUUCCAUGAGUGUGGACAAAUUGAGCUGAUCGAUUGAUUGAGAAAAUAUUGUGUGGAUGUUCUCAGAUCUCCUUGCUCCACUACUCCUUGGAUUAUUACCUUUGUCCAUAUAUUUUGGUUUAUCUGAGCUGAAGCAGUGAUAAUAUACUCUAGAUAAAAGGAUGGACACAUAAGCUUGGGACAUGAUUGUGGCCGCUGUACUUCAAGAAGGUGCGGAGCUACGGUGAGCAGCAGGUUGCAUCGUCAUGGUGGUCGCCCUCGACCACGAUGGUGUGCACACCUUGGCACCAGGAAUUGGCUUGGGACGCCGUGGAGGGAGAGAGAAGGGGGGCGGGCAAUGUUGUCGAAGGGGCCGGGGGCGGGGGAGGGGGGGAUGACUGUGAGAGUAAGGUGUGGGCUGAAUGUCAUGGUGUAGAGGGGGGGCUGUAAGAAGCCGCGGCGGGGAUAGCAAGCCGGGAGAUGAGAUGUGAGUGUCAGCACUAUGUCAUGUGGCGAGAGAGUAAGAUGGUGGAUUGCAUUUUUAAGAUAAGAAUAAAAGGUGUUUACUUUUUUUGGAAAAAACGAUGGUUUGCUAUGAGAGAAAUGUCACAUACUUCUUUAUAUAGUAAAAAAUAUCACAAACCCUAACAAGUUAUUUCUUGAGAAUAAUUACUAACAAGUGAUUUACAGAUGAGUCUACAUGUUAUUAAAAUUGGGAUGCGACUCACCCUACUAAAAGCGGUCACCUGCUUGCAUGUAGCAGCUGACCGAAUAAAUAUAUACUCCCUCCGUUCCAAAAUUCUUGUCUUAGAUUUGUCUAGAUACGGAUGUAUCAAGGAUUUUGGGACGGAGGGAGUAUUAUAUAUGAGCUUUUUUAAGAUAUGUAUAUGUUCACUUUUGUACAUCAGAGAUAAAAGUCAAUGGAUGCGGAUGAUGCUACUGUUGAUCGACAAAGUCACUGACGUAGUUAUGAUUGACCAGACUGAAAACUCAUCAAACUUUACAAAAUCAGAAGAGAUGUAUACAAAUUAUGGUUCUUCUUUGUAUAUAAACUACACACAAUAAUAUAUUCUUU